rnacentral:miRNA from 1 species
CAAGAUUAGAAGUAUGUAACC